rnacentral:lncRNA from 1 species
AAGGACCGAGAGAAGGCCGUGGAAGAAGCAAACGUGGGCCUGGAAACGCUAGAAAAUGAGCUCAAGGAUAAGAAGUUCUUUGGAGGAGAGAGUAUCGGAUUUGUAGAUAUCGCUGCCAAUUUCAUAGGCUUUUGGGUUGGAGUUCUUGAGGAAGUGGUUGGAGUGGAAUUGCUGACAAUUGACAAAUUUCCAAUAUUAUGCAAAUGGAGAGAUGAGUACGUCGGGUGCAGUGGGAUCAAGGAAAAUCUGCCUUCCAAAGAAAAGCUAGGGGCCUAUUUUCGGACCCGGGUUGAAAGCGCCAGUCAAUCCGAAUGAAUGGUUUGUGGAUGAGGUUAUGCGGACUGCUGCUCAUGGACAUGAGUAACUUGAAAGAAAACCAGCCUUCUGUAUGUUUGUGUAAUGCGUUAUGCUUCUGCUUUUCUAGUAUGUUGUAUACUUGUUUUGGCAUGUAAUAAGGAGUCGAUUGCCGUGGUUUGUCGUUUUGGAUGAACCGGCAAACGUGUUAGACUAUAUGGUCUGUACACCUUUUCCACUCCUCGCUUUGUGAGAAUAAAGGAUGUUGAGUCAAACAUUGACAGUGUGAACUUGAACAUGGAAACAAUAAAGCCCGUCACUCUUGCUUUGUGUGCGGCUCAGAAGCUGAACAUGUAGUCCAGGAGCCGUGAUUCAACUCUCUUACUAACAAAAAGACAACAUAUACCCCCUCAAUCGGUCAUUAAUGACAUAUUUAUUUUCUUUAUUCAUUAUGUCAUCAUGCUAUUCCUUCACUUUUUCCUUCUCAAGUGGAUUAAGCAGAGACCUUGGAAAAAUUAAUCCUUUUGAGGAGGCAGAAGUAGGCAUGUUUGCAUGUGAUUAAGAAUAAACAUCGGCCAUGGAGAAUGAACAUUGUUACAUGACCUAGCCAUGAAUAUAUACUAAAACAUAAAGAGCUAGGAAUUCCCAACUCCACCUCGGGUAGAUUUGGUGUGGAUUGAACAUACUAUAGACGAGAUACGAGUUAGCCUGCCAUCCUGUCCAAUCUAAUUAAGUUGCAGCUAGUCUUAAAAAGAACCAAUUUCCUUCUAAAUAUUCAUUUAGGAACUGGGAAGGAUACCUUUCAUAAACAUGUCAUAACACACUUGACAACCCGGGACUACUAUGGUAGAUUAUGCAUUAAUAGGGCCUCUUUUUCUUCCUUUUUCACUUUUCUGGAAGUGUACACCAACAACUGUGCCUGGGGGAUGAUAUCGAUUGACGAAUUUAUAAGUAUAAAACACCUAAGGUUGUUCUAUGGUACCCAAUCUCUAUUUUGGGAUACCUACCCACAUUUGACCCCAAUAAAAAGAUGACAUGUGUAAAGUACAUAUCAUUAAAAAAUUUAUAAAAACUUAUCAAAUCGGUAAAGAUAAUUUGUUGGUGAGAAAUAAUCACAUGCAUUUCAUCUAUAUAUAAAUAUUAUAACUUUUUUAUAAUUUAUUAUUAAAUAUCAAAUAUAAUUUGUUAUUUAAUGCAUUACCUAACUCUAUCUAAAAAAAGAAAAUCCUACCAACUAUUCUUAUACUCUCAUUAUUCAUAUAUAAAAAAAAAGAUAGUAAUUUAAUAUGAAAAUUAAAUAAUUUCAACUACCAAAUUACAAAAUAUGUAAGACGUAUUUUGAUGAAUCAAAUUUCAAGAUCAAGUUUAAAACUUUUUUAGAGAGAAAAAUUAAAAUUUGUAUUAUAUGAAGAAGAUGAAGGAUUUCAAGUGAUUACAAGUGUCAAAAAUAAUAUUUGAUAUUUUUUUUAUCCAAAUAUAAUUGUUGUAGAAAGAAAUGUGAUGUUAAAUAACGAUUUUAGAAUUUUUUAUGAGUUUAUUAUAAAAUUUUGUUAUCAAAUUGUUACUAAUAUUUUUAUAUAAUUAUUUUUUUUUUGUUCAUAGAUUAAAUUUGAAGAUGAAGCUUUAUAUGUCUUGAAGGAUGUCAAGUGAUUACAAGUGUUAAAAGGUAACCUUUGAUUUUUUUUUCCAUUUACAUAUAACUAUUGUAGGUAGAAAUGUCAUGUUAAAUGACAUUUAAAUAUGUAAUGAUUUAUAACAUCUAGAUUUUUUAAUUUUUUUUAGUUAUUAUUAAUCAAAUUGAGAGCAUUUAGUCAUUUGUUAUGAAAUUGUCAUCAAUAUUUUGUAAGAUAAGGGUACAAACUUUUUAAGAGAUGGUACAAACUUUAGUACAAACAUUGUAAGAGAGGAUACGAACAUUAUAAGAUAAUAUACGAACUUUCUAAGAGAUGGUACGAAGUUUACAAGAGAUUGUACGAACUUUGUAAGAGAUGGUACGAACUUUCUAAGAAAAUAUAUGAACUUUAUAAGAGAUGGUAUGAACUUUGUAAGAGAAGGUACGAACUUUGUAAGAGAAUGUACGAACUUUCUAAGACAAUGUACGAACGUGGUAAAAGAGGAUACGAACUUUGUAAGAAAUGGUACAAACUUUCUAAGAGAUGGUACGAACUUUUUGAAGAGAUUGUACGAACUUUCUAAGAUAGUGUACAAACUUUGUAAAAGAUGGUACGAACUUUGUAAGAGAUGGUACGAACUUUCUAAGAAAUUGUACGAACUUUCUAAGAGAUAGUAUGAACUUUGUAAAAGAUGGUACGAACUUUGUAAAAGAGGGUACGAACUUUUUAAGAGAUGGUACGAAUUUUAUAAGAGAGUGUACGAACUUUGAAAAUAUAAUAUUUUACAAUUACGUAGUGUUUUAAUUUUUUAAUUUUCUUGAAAAUAGUUUCCAUCAUUUCUAUGCUUGAUUAGUAUCAAUAAACAAUAUUAUUUGCAUUUUUAAGUGGAAAAAAUUGAAAAAAUUUUAAAUUUCAGGAUAUGGAGAAUAUGAUGUAGGGUAUGAAGAAUGUAUGGAUUUCUCAUAAUCUUCAUACCUUUUCUCACAUGUUUUGUAUCCUCUCUAAUUUUUUAGUGUUUUAAUUUUCUAAUUUUUUUUAGGAUAAUUUACAUUAUUUCCAAUUUUAAAAUUUUAAAAUUCUUUUUUUUGUAACAAUUCUAUCAAUAAUAACUCAAAUAAUAUUAUUAAACUAUGUUAUUGUUAUUUCAAGUUAAAAACUAAAUAUGAAAUUUUAAAAAUAUAAAUAAUUUAGGGUACAAAAAAUAUGAGAACAGUACGAAAAAUGUGAUAAAUACAUGUUUGGCACUUUCAUCACAUUUUUUAUAUUGAUUUUUAGUUUUAAAAUUUUUGAAAUUAAAAAUUUAUUUUCGAAAAUACUAUCAUUAGUAACUCAAAAGAGUAUUAGUAAUUUAUUUUAUCUAAUUUAACUUUAAAAACCUUAAAUUCAAAAAAUGUAAAAUUUGGAGAGUACAUAAAAAAAUUAGGACAAUCUAAUUACCUAAGUUUUACAUAUGAUUAUCAAAAUGUUGAAUUUUAAUUAAAAUACUCAUUUUAUAUUAAAAUAUUAUCAUAUUCAUUUUUAUGUUGAAUUUAAAUCUUUAAUAAUUUGUUAAAAAUAAAAUAAUGUAAUUAUGAUAUAUGAUGAUUUUUUUUUUUUGCUAAUAAAUAUGUUUUCAAAUUUUAUAUCAUUUUUAUUUUUAUUUUUUUCCAAUUCUAUUUUUAUCUCAUAUUUAUUUUAUUUAAACCAAAAAUUGUUAAGAAUGGAGGAAGAAAGAAGGUCAUGAUUCUUCUCUUAACUGGUUAAGAGGAAUUUUUAUUUCAAAUUUAAAAUAGAUGGCCAAGAUGUAAUAUUGAACAUCAAUGGCUUAGAAAAACUUUUCGGUAGGUACCGAAGAGGUACCCUAGAAUUUUCCAACACCUGGAGGCUUAUUUGCCAAGUAAUCCUAUAAUUGUCCCUCCGUAAGAAGGCGCGAACUUGAAAGAAGAACCAAAUGUAAAAGCAGAACCACAUACUCUUUUAAUGUGGAAAUAGAGAAGUUGGGACCAAGUGAAGCUCAUUGUGAUGUGGGAAAACCCUUUGAAACUAAAAUGAGUCUGGUAUGAUUACAAUGAAGAAGAUCUCAAUAAUAAGAGUUUGUUGCUUCUCUAGUCGCUCUACAUGCUCCCACACAACAUAAAGCCCAUUGUGGAUUGUUAACUUGUAAUGCAUAGAAGAACUUAGAAAGCGGCGAUCUAUGGCACGUUUCUGUAAUGUCCGGGUAUUUUAGGCCACGUUGAAAAUUCUAGUUUGAAAAGUUUUCCUUUGAGUAGUGGUUGAAAAGUCAAAAAAAAAAAAAAAAUGAUUGGAGAAUACGUGUUAAUUUUGAAUUGAUGAAAUUCGAUUUAUUGUGUUGAUCAAUUAGACGAGUUAAAAAUUUUGUGCCACGUCAACCUUAUGGUAGAAAUUUUCUUAGGAUUUUAGAAAUUGAAAAUUUCCGGAAACAAAAAAUGAAAACAAAAAUGAAAAGUGAAUUAAUUAAAAUUAAUUAGAAUUAAUUUUUAUCAAAAUUUUCUUAGGAUAUUAAAAAUUGAAAAUUUCAGGAAACGAAAAACGAAAACGAAAAUGAAAAGUAAAUUAAUUAAAAUUAAUUAGAAUUAAUUUUUAUCAAAAUUUUCUUAGGAUUUUAGAAAUUGAAAAUUUACGGAAACGAAAAACGAAAACGAAAAUUAAAAGUGAAUUAAUUAAAAUUAAUUAGAAUUAAUUAAAUAAAAAAAUAAAUUAAAUUUGUUUAUUAAGAAAAAUUGAGAAAAUUAAAUUUUUGAGUUGGUGUUUAAUACAUUAAUUUGUGUGUUAGUAAAAAAAAUUGGAAAUGAAACAAAUGGGAUAAAUAUAAUAAAAGAAAUAAAUAGGAUUCAAUGGGGCCUUUGGAUAUUGGGUCAUGGAUAAUGGGCUGGUGGUUAAAUGAAAUAAAUAAAAUAAAAUAAAAAAGGAAAAAAGGAAAAGCAAUUAAAAAGUGGUAGAACAGGAGAGAGAGAAAGAGUCCUGACGGACUGUGGAGAAACCCAUCUCGUCAGAACUUUGGCCAACCUAUUGGACGGUCGAACGUCCGUUUCGGCUCAAAUUUUGAAGAGGUGUUCUACUCGACGAAAGAAACGAUUCUACGAUGGCCGAUCAUGAUUUUAAUGGUCGAAUUCUUAAAUCUAUGGUAUGAACUUUUAAUUUGGACUGUAAUGAUAAGUAAUACAUCUUGUUGCUUUUGAGCAGUGUUUGGGAUAUUAUUAGUUGAUGAAAACUCUAGUGUGAGGUAUGUGUCGAAGAAAAAAAAUAAAAAUUCAGAGUGUUUUGGUUGAUUGCGAGCGUAGAAUAAAAGGAACCCUUAGAGUCAAACCUUUGACUUGGGGUCAUGGGCCAAAUUUUGGGUGGCCCGGAAUUUGAGUCGUGAUAGUUUCUAUGCUAAAUUUGCAGAUGAGAAGGUACACCGUACACAUAUCAUUUUCUCAUGUCCUCACUAAAAGCUUACUAACAUUUACUAUCUUUUAGGGUUGCAGCAGCCAUGCAUCUAUGCAUCUCACACAAAAAAACUAAUGGGAGAAUUACCAGAUAAAACCAAUGGAGAAUUACCAAAAUUAUCCUUCAACUAAAACUUUUAAAAUUCAAAGAAUUUAAAUCACUUCACUUGGUUUGUAGGGACAUUUAUGGUGCGUGACCCCUACAUUUAUUGUAAUUAUUGACAUUCAAAUUUUAAAUCAAAAUUUUGAGUUUUAAUUUUUACAAUUAUUAUAUAUAAUGAUAGUAUAAUUUGUUAUUUAAAUUUACUAUUUAAAACAAAAAUAUUUCUAAAAAAUAUUUUCAAAAUAUUAUUUAUUGUGUUUAUUUUUUUACAUUUUUUAUUUCUAAUUUUAAAUUUUAUUAAGAAAAAAACAAGUUUCAUAAUUAUAUAAUAAAAAUGAUGACUUUUUCAUAUCUAUAUUUUUAAAUUUUAAAUUGAUAAGUUAAUUUUUUUAUAUUAAAUUCGAAGAAGAUAAAAUGUUUAAUUUUUCAUUGAUUAUCUAAAAAGAAUAAGAAAAUGAUGAAGAAUGUUUAAUCAUUUUUUAUUUUUUAUAAUAAAAUAAAUUUUUUUAAAAAAAUAUAUGAUUUUUUUUCCUAUGCAUAGUUUUUUUUUUCUUAAUUUUCAUAUAUAUAUAUUUUUUUUCUCAAUGCGUCAAGUGGAUGGUGUCAAUACAUUUGAUAUGUUGAAUAUUAAUGAGGUAUAAAAAGUGAUCUUUAUGAUUAUUACUUUUAUUAUAAACCAUAGGUAUAACACAAAUAUGUUGUAAUCACAAUAUAAAUAUACAUUACAAUAAAACCUAAUUGAAAAAAUUUUGAAAUUUUUUAUAAAAGUGAUAAUUUUGUAUGAUCAUACCAUAUUUCAUGACAUAUUUAUAUUAUAAAUCAUUUAUGAAACUAAAUGAAAUACUAAUUUGAAUUCUUAAGACUAUAUAUAUAUAUAUAUUUCAAUGCACCGAAUGAUCGUUAAUAUAUUGAUAUGAUGUGUUAAUACCAAUAAGAUAUAAAUAAACAUUUUUAUAAUUAUUACUUUUAUAAUGAAAUAUAGAUAUAGCAUAAAUGUAUUAUACUUAUAAUACAAAUACACUAUCUUUACAAUAUAUUGCAACAUAAUUUAAUUUUUUCAUGUGUUGUAUUACCCAAUGAAUAGUUGUUCGUUAAUUCAUUUAAUAGUUGUGUAUUAUUCAAUUGAAUAUUUAUAUAUUAUUCAAUUGAUGAGAAAAUAAUUAUUCAUUUUAUUAGGGUAACAAAGUUUUUAAUUUAUAUUUCAUAUGUAAAAUGAUAUAAUAACCUUAGGAUAUAAUUUUUAUUUAUAAGAUAUUGAAAAUUAUUUUUUGUACGAGGUUCUUUAAAAAAUCUCAAUUUUUUUUGAAAAAAAAACAAUUUUUUAUUUUUUGGAGUAUGAGAAAUAUAAUGUUGAUUACUUGUACUUAUAUCAUGUAUGCACCCACUAAUUAUCACAUCCAACCCACCUUAUCUGAUAAUUCUCCCAAAAUUAAUUGAAUUUAUUGAUCUAUUUAGUGUUUCCCUACACUUUUUGUCAUAAGCAUAGAUGAAAAUUUCAAAAAAAAAAAAAAAAAAAGGUCGAAAUUUCAUGUUUCAGUAAGGGACAAUACAAAAAAUGGAAAAAAAUAUUGGAAAAAAUCAACGAAAUAUCAACUAGGACCAAUUAAUCAAUGAUUUAAAACGCGGAUUUAAUUUAAUUUAAUUGACCAUAAAAAAUAUAAAAUUAUAGUGAUAAUUUUCUUAACUUUUUUUUAUAUCAUUUAUAUAUUAAUUAAAUAUAAAAAAUAUAAAUAUUUAAAAAAAUUAUACAUAUAUAAUCAUUUAUUUUAUAUUAUUUAAUACAAUUGAAUUAAAUGGAUCAUAAUUUUAAUAUUAAAUAUAUUUUAAAAUUAGACCUAUUAUAAUUAUAUAUCACAAUAUUAUUAUGGAAUAAUAGUUAAUGUAAUUUAAUAAUAAAUAUAUGCUUAUAAAAUUCAUAUUUUUUUUAUUGAGGCAUAUAAUAUUAUUAUCAAAUAUGAUAAAUUUUAUUUUUCUUAAGAUAAUUUUGUAGUUUAUUACACUCAAAUUGAUCAAAUUUAACGUCAAUACGUAAAGUCUAGGAGCAUAUAGCAAUUAUCCAUAGGUAUCAUUUAUAAAAAAAAAUGUGUGUAUUUUCCGUAAUUAGUUUGUAAUGGAAGGUGUCAUAAUAAUAAAGAUAUUGAAUAACGACAUAAAUAUAAUAUUAAUAAUAAUAUCAACUGUCUUUAUAAUAAUAGGUAUAAUAUUAAUAAAAAUAAUACUAAUACCAUCAAUAAUAUUAAUAAUGAUAUGAAUAAUAUAAUAUUAAUCUCUCAUAAACAAUAAUAUUAAAAAUAGCAUAAAUAUUUAACUAUAAUAAUAUAAUAUUUAAUUAUUAAUAUUUAAUCCGUCUUUUUCUUUCCUUCUUUUUCACCUGUCGGCCGCCUUGGUUGAAAUUGUCAACCACCCACCCCCACAUAACAAUUGACGUUAGAUUAUUAUAUCAAAUUAUCAAUAUUGAGAGGUUUUUAGAAUUUAAAUGUUUUUUUUAAUUUAACGUUCACAUCUGGAUUUUUUUGUAAAAAAAAUAAAAAUAAAAGAUGAAUAAGUUGAUAAGAUUUCAUGAAAUUCAAAAUUCAUUUUUUGAAUUAAAUUGAUUAAAAAUAAAAUAGAGAUAAUCAUCCUAAUUCAAGAUAUAAAGAUUUUUCAUAGAUAUUUAUAUGAAUUAUAAUUUUUAUUUUUAUUUUAUAAAAAAAAAAGUGAGGAAUAUUGUAUUAGCAAACUAUUUAGGACAAAAAAAUAAGAAAUUUAAAAAAAAUGAUAAUGAAAUUGGCUCUUUUCUUUUUAAUAAAAAAAAAUAAGAAUCUUGACAAUUUUUUUAAAUAAAAAAUAUUUGACAGAUAAUUAGAAAAAAAAAAAUACAUAUUGGUAGUGCACAUUGUGAAUGUUCAACCGUUGUUAUCUUUUGUGGUGAAUAUAAAGUAAAAUUUCUGUGUCAGGCAUCUACCAAACCGUCAUAAUUAAUUGUUAACCUGGAAUAUUGACUGAAAAUUAAUGUUUACCUUAAUAGAUAAGUAAAGUGGGGUGACAUCAUCACUUAGGUCACUUCUGGAGGGCUGCUCCUGUAAUUAAUAUUAGGGAGAAUUGUGUUUUGGGUCCAGCUGGGUCCAAAAAUUAACAUUUGGUCCUCCAAUCACCCAUAUUUAAGUCCAAGGAUAUGAGAUAGUAAUUGACAAAAAUACCCACGUGACUCAUUUUUGUCUUUAUUCUACUACUUGCCACUCAUCUUUCUUAUUUAACCAUUUUUUGAUUUUUCAUUUUUUUAAAACUCUUUAUAAAUAAUUGAAAAUUUACAUUAUUUUUUAUUUUUAAAUUAUAAAUAAACAAAAAUUAUAUUAAUGAUUCAAAGACUAUUUUAGAAAAUACUUUUUAAAAAAAUAUUAAUUUAAAUAAAUAAAAAUUAAUAUUUUAUAUUUAUUUUUAUCAUUUACAUUUUAGAAGUAAAUAAUUUAAUGAUUAAAAUACCAUUUAAAAUAAAUAUAUUCACUAUUUUAUUUUAUUUUUAUACUAAAAAGUAUUUUAAAGUUUUUUUUUACUAUUAUAAAAUAAAAAGUUUAAUUUUUUUUUAAUCUUCUUCCUUCCUUAUUUUAACAACUUUUUGAACAUGAUUUUUAGUAAUAAGUUAUAUGAAAUGCUACAAAUUUAUUUAUUAAUGAUUUUUUUUUUAAUGAUUUGAAUUAAUUGAAAAUUUAUUAAAAUAAAAAAAAUAAAAAAAAUAAAGAAAGGGGAUGGAUUGAGAGUUUUUAUUUUAAUAUAUAUAUAUAUAUAUAUUUUAAAAAAAUUCCCAAAUUAAAAAAGGAAAAAAAAAAAACAAUUCCUCAAGUUCCCAUGAAAAAAAAAAUGUUUUUUUUAAAUUCCCAAAUUAUAAAAAAAAAAAAAAAAAAUUACUCAAGGGAACUCGUCUCUUCAUGAAAAAAAAAAUAUUUUUUUUUAAAAAAAAAUUCCUCAAGGUAACUCGUCUUUUGAAAAAAAAAAUUUUAUAUAUAUAUAUAUUUUUAAAAAUUCCCAAAUUAUAUUAAAAAAAAAAACCACCCGGGUGGAUAUUCGGAGAAAGUGGGAUGUCAUCCGGACAGAAUUCCUACCCGGGUGGAAUGAGCGAUGAUUCCAUCCGGGGGGAAUGAUCGUUCCACCCGGGUAGGAAUUCUGUCCGGAUGACAUCCCACUUUAUCCGGAUAUCCACCCGAGUGGUUUUUUUUUUUUAAUAUAAUUUGGGAAUUUUAAAAAGAUAUAUAUAUAAAUUUUUUUUUUUUUCAAGAGACGAGUUACCAGGCUCCUAAUAGGUUUUGUACUAUUUUUAAACAACUUGAAUUUGAUAUUAAGACAAUUAUUGAUAGUUUUUUUUUUUCUUUUUUUUACCAAACUAUUUCAUUAAGACAUUCCCUACAAAAAUUAACACAUAAGAAAUAAAAUUUUGAGUUUUUUGAGUUAUUGUACAAGGUAUUACACUAACUGUACAAGACAAAUUUAGUAAUUGUAUAAGGGUGUAUAAGACUACUUUUUGUUAAGGAUUUCAAGUGAUUUUGAAAAAAUUUCCUAUUUUUUUCCAUUCAAAAUUUUUUCCCCCACUCAAAUUCUCUCACUCAAGAAUUGUUUCAAAUUUUAUUUUUAAAUUUCAUCAUCAAAAAUUUGUAAUUGUAUAUUUUGUUUUGUAGUUUUAGCAAUGUUAUUUCUUUUCACUAUAUAUUUUUUUUUUGUGAAAUUUUAUCCAAAUGAAUCUAUAUUUAAAAUUAUAAUCAUAUUUAUCAAAAUUUUUACUAAGAUUAUCUUUAAUUCUUUUAAUAUAUUUAUACUCAUUUAUUUAAAAAAUGAAAAACUAAUUUAUUUAUUUUUUUGUAAACAUGUUCUAUUACCUUUCAAGUAAAAAAUUAGAUAAGUUUCAAAGUCAAUAAAUAAAAAAAUUAAAUACCACUUUCAAUAAUUUUUAGAUAAAAUUUUAUAUAAUAUAUUUUAUUUGAAACUUAAUUUUUAAAGUUUAACUAAAAAAUUGUAUUGACAAUUUUCUUGUUGUGGGUCAAAAUACUUUGCAUUAGUCUAUCUAGAUAAGAAAAAUUAUUAAUAUAAUAUUAGAACUUCAUAUCUUAGUUUUUUUUUUUCAACAAAUUUAUCUUUUUAAAAAUUUUAAAAUAAAAUCAUUAAAAAUUAAAAAGCUAAAAAGAUAUAUAUAAUAAAGUGAAGUGAUAGUUAAUUUUAAAAUUUUUUAAAAUAUGGUUAAUGUAGAAAAUAUAAAAAAUAAUUAAAAAUAAGAGAAAAAUAUAGAUGAAAGGGUAAUAUAAAUUUAAAAUAAAAAAUGAAAAUUAAACUAAAAGAUAAAUACAAAAAGAUAAAAAAUAUUUGGAUGAAAAAUCCCAAAAUUUUUAUCAUUGCUUUUAAUAAGAGCAAAAAGAUUCAAUAUCUUUAAAAAUGAAAAAUAAAAAAAUAUUAUUGUUUUUUAUUUGACAUAAAAUAGAAAUAUAUAUUGGAAUAAAAAGGACAAAAAAAAGUUAGAAAUGAGUAAUAUUUAAUAGGGAAUAGAAAAGGAAAUAAAAAAUAAAAAAAAAAUUAAAAUUCACACUCACUUGUAGGCAUAUAAGGGAUAAGGGUAUUUUAGGAAUUAAUGAAAGACAAUAUCCUUCAUCUUCAUUUUCAUACUUUGUUUGGGUCUUGGGCUUAAAUAUGAGUGAUUGGAGGACCAAAUGUUAAUUUUUGGACCCAGCUGGACCCAAAACACAAUUCUCCCUUAAUAUUAUACGCCUCUCAGAAGGCUCUAUAUAUAUAUUAUUAAUUUGGCCAUUGACCGAUGGACAAUAUGAUUAAGGGUCAAGAGCAGUAAUGAAACCGUGAAGCACUUGGAUAGACCUUAUAAGAAGCCAUCAAAUGGAGCAGAGGAACCAAGCUUAGAUAGUGAUAUAAUGGCUGAAGAAGUGAAGCUAAUUGGGGUGUGGGGAAGCCCAUUUAGUCGCAGAGUAGAGAUUGCUCUGAAACUGAAAGGAGUCCAGUAUGAGUACAUUGAAGUUGAUCUCACUAAUAAGAGCCCUUUGCUUCUCAAGUCUAACCCCGUUCACAAGAAGGUCCCUGUGCUCUUGCACAACGGGAAGCCCAUCGCGGAAUCACUCGUUAUUCUCGAGUACAUCGACGAGACCUGGAAAGCCAAUCCUAUCUUGCCUCAGCACCCUUAUGACAGAGCCAUGGCACGCUUCUGGGCUAAGUACAUAGAUGAAAAGGUAUAAUACCAUUUUUCCCAUGCCCUUUUUUUUUCCCCCGCAGAACAUUCUUGAGUCAAAUGAUUUUUUCCUAGGCCUGCAACCCCUAUUUCACUUAGAAACCAAUUGAAUCUAUUGUGUUUAGUGCUUGCCUGCACUGUGGAACGCUUGUUGGUGCGAAAAGAAGGACCGAGAGAAGGCCGUGGAAGAAGCAAACGUGUGCCUGAAAACGCUAGAAAAUGAGCUCAAGGAUAAGAAGUUCUUUGGAGGAGAGAGUAUCGGAUUUGUAGAUAUCGCUGCCAAUUUCAUAGGCUUUUGGGUUGGAGUUCUUGGGGAAGUGGUUGGAGUGGAAUUGCUGACAAUUGACAAAUUUCCAAUAUUAUGCAAAUGGAGAGAUGAGUACGUCGGGUGCAGUGUGAUCAAGGAAAAUCUGCCUUCCAAAGAAAAGCUAGGGGCCUAUUUGCGGACCCGGGCUGAAAGCGCCAGUCAAUCCAAAUGAAUGGUUUGUGGAUGAGGUUAUGCGGACUGCUGCUCAUGGACAUGAGUAACUUGAAAGAAAACCAGCCUUCUGUAUAUUUGUGUAAUGCGUUGUGCUUCUGCUUUUCUAGUAUGUUGUCUACUUGUUUUGGCAUGUAAUAAGGACUAAGGAGUCGAUUGCCGUGGUUUGUCGUUUUGGAUGAACCGGCAAACGUGUUAGACUAUAUGGUCUGUGCACCUUUUCCACUCCUCGCUUUGUGAGAAUAAAGGAUGUUGAGUCAAACAUUGACAGUGUGAACUUGAACAUGGAAACAGUAAAGC